GGGGGUGCACUGGUUUCGACGGGGGUCACGUACUUUGGGGCAGCCAUUCGUAGGAAGUCUACACUACGUAAAAAGAGGACAUUUAAAUUAAACGCAGAAGACAAUUUUGCAUUAGCAGCUUAAUGCUGCUAGUUUCUCCUAGCUAGCCCACAGGCAAGGAAGAAACUCCAUUUAAGUGGGGAACGACUUGUGUUAAGCUUUGCCCACAAGCUGUACUUAUGAAGCUACUAAAACUAUAAGCCUGUCUUUGGGCGUGUAGUAGAGGGAAUGUCAAAUUGAAGAAUAUAAUGGUAGAGACCACGACUUAUGGACUUUCGGACAGGGGUUCGAUUCCCCUCACCUCCAUUU
rnacentral:tmRNA from 1 species